UAACUGACUGGUCGUAGGUUCGAAUCCUACUUGGGGAG
rnacentral:tRNA from 1 species